rnacentral:rRNA from 1 species
AACGAACGCUGGCGGCGUGCCUAACACAUGCAAGUCGGACGAGAAAGUUUCCUUCGGGAAGCGAGUAAAGUGGCGCACGGGUGAGUAACACGUAGACAACCUGCCUUCCAGUCCGGGACAACCUUUCGAAAGAAGGGCUAAUACCGGAUAACACUUUGGGCCGCAUGGCCUGGGGUUGAAAGAUUUAUCGCUGGAAGAGGGGUCUGCGGGACAUCAGCUAGUUGGCGGGGUAACGG